UUAGAUUAUGCUGCAGUCAUUUUAAACUUCUAGGUUCAUCCAAAAAAAUAAUAAUUCAAUCGUUAAUCCCCACACUGGCUGUUGUUAUUAAAUGUUUACAAUCCAGGAACAUUUAUGAGACAUCUUGUCGUGUCCUAUGUCUUGUGUUCUGUCUCUGUUCUGGGUUCAAAGACUUUCCUUGAGUGUUUUUAUUUUGAUAUCUCAGAUUUGGUUCACUGUUUUGUUCUUCAAGUGUUUCCCAUCUUCCUGUUGUCUCUCCUCCUCUAUAUAAGCUCUCUGGUUCAUUCACUCCUUGUCAGAUCCUCAUUCGAAUUAAUGUUUACUUUCCCUGGCCAUUGGUUCCUCUGCGUUAUGUUUGUGUCGUGUCCUGUAAGUUUUCUUGGCUCUUCUGUGUCCUCCUCCUUUGACUCUCCUGGUCCUGUGUUCCCACUGGUUUGUUCUACAGUCUCAUCCAUUUAACUUUUGUUCUUUGUAGUUCUGGUUUUUGUUUUUCCCCAGUUUAGUUUAUCUCUGUAUUUCCAGCUCUUGCAGUGGUUUUAUUUGUAAAAAAUGCUUUAUUGGGUUGUUUAUAGUAACACUACUUGUAAGAGUACCAUUUCACAUGAUAAAUCUGUUCUUCCACCUCAUAUUUACAGUUUGCAGAGUGCAUCUUGGGUGGAUUACCCCUUGAGUUCGAUAACUCAACAUCUGGCGUGAACUCUAUCCGAGAACACAUUGCCGUUUCCAUUUUGGAAAACACCGAUGACUUGAGUAACUUGUGCCAUCUGUGUGGGGAGCAGGAUGGGAUCACUCAUUGGAUUGGAUGUGAAUUCUGCCCACGGUGGUUCCACAAAAGCUGUGCCAAAUACAGAGGCCGAAAGGAAUAUAUUUGUGCGGCCUGCCAGUAGCAUGUGUUGCUAUUGUUAUGUAAAUAGUUAUAUCUUUGUGUGUUUUUCAAAUUUUCCUGUUUCAUGUUCAUGCUUUUGUCUGUAUAAAUCUCUUUAGAUUAAAAGAAAUACAAUUAUUUUGCACCAACACUU